UGUUGCCUUUGCUAUUGUGAAAACAAAGAAAAAAUACGUGUAUUAACGCAUAAAUAAUGCUUCAAUGAAUAAAAUUUUCUAAUAUAUCUAUUUAAAUUCUUCAUCAUUUAUAAAGAUAUUCUUAUUCUUCUUUUUUUUCUUUUUUUCUUUUUUAUUUUUUUUAAUUCAAAUUAAAGCUAGAUCAUUUCAAUAAUGCAUGCAUGAUUAUCCUCAUAUAUCGCCAGUUGUCUAUAAAUAGACAAUCCUUUUGUCCUCUGGCCUUACAUAUCCUCAAAUUUUAAUUAAUCUGUAACAUAUAUACUAUUUCAAUUAAGAAUUGAAGAAGAAUGGCGUCGUCUGUGCAACAGAAAAGGGACAAUGUGAUGGGUGAGAAAGAAAAGGCGAUGAUGGAAGAGGGGAUGAAAGACGCAAAGAACUACAUAAUGACAAACAACAUAAGCAAUAAUCAGAUUCAAGCAAUGGCAGUGGUCUCCAUCAGAAGCAGUUUCGGACAACGAAUGAGGUCGUACAGAAACCAUAGUUGGAUUGGGAAUUUUAUGGCGAGGCUUCCUGAUUACAUCAACGGAGGUGAUGGGGCUGUGUUUGUGCACAAGGGCUCUAAGGGGGCGCUCUUGUAUGGUCUCGAGCGUGAUGCAACUCCUCUUGCCCUUGGAUGGAUACUGUCUUGGUCCAAACCCGACACCCCUGGUGAGCCUAAUAGGGUAUGUAUACAUUUACUCCCAAUAAAAAACACUCAUUUUGCAAAUAAGGCCCUGUUUUAUUCACCUUAUUUCCAUUUAUUUCAGGAAAAAUAAGUUCGAAUAAGUUCAAAUAAGGGUUAAUUAAUAAGUUCAGAUUAGAUAAGUUCAGAAAAAAUAAGUUCAGAUAAAUUGUGAUAAUUCAUAUAAGUUUAGAUGCGUUAAGACAAGUUCAGAUAAGAUUAGAUAAGUUUAGAUAAAUAAAAAUCAGGUGAAUAGAAUGCACCUUAACUACCUUAUAAUUCAAAAAAGAAAAACACUUUUUAUGAACAUUAUUUGUUAAUGAGGCCCAGAACCAAUGUCCAUACAACACAAUUACCUCUAAUAACUAGUUAAUUACACUCACUUAGCCCCAACUACCACUAAGUACACCCAUAUAACCUCAAUUUCCCCUAUUUUAGGGUUUUAAUUAAGGGGUGGCUGUAGUCAAUUCUACCUUCAGUAUCAACAGCCCAGGGGGACCAUAGAUUUCCCUAUUGCAUAUCAAGAAGUAUACUUCAUAACAAAUUAUGUAUAAUACUCGUAUGUAAUAUAAUAUUCGGAAUAACACAAGCGACUUAGUGUGCUAAGUUGUGACCAAAAAAAAAUGUACGUGUGUGGUAUGUCCCUCGCAUUGCUUUGCUUGGCUUGGCUUUGCUAUAACCUGGACAUUUAUCAUCUUAAUAAAAAUUAAUGAUAAAUCCUUAUAAUGAUUUCAAGAGUAUGCAAUGUUUUGAUCUUGUUGUUCCUAUAUAUGUCUUGUAUUUUUUUUUUUUAAAAACAGUAUAUGUCAUGUACUUGAGGCGUCGUUUGUGAUGAGACUGAUGAGUAAGGAUUAUUAAUGCAUACAUUUAUUAGUUUAUAACCUUAGAAAAUUUACCAAAUUUUACUAUUGAACGUUCACGAAAUUGGUGCAAGUUUUAAACGGGCAAAUUGAGUUCACGAAAUAGGUGCAAGUUUCAAAUGGGCAUAUUGAGCGUUUCAAGAAAAAUUAGAUGGUUCCACCCACCAAUUGGACUCCCGGAGGGUAUUGGGGACCAAGGUAAGCAUCUCGGCAAUUUUUAUUUCCGGACAAAAAAAAUAUUUCAAAAAUUUCCAAAAUUGAAGGCUUAUUAUCCACGGUUUUUUUUUUUUAGGAAUUUUUGACGUUACGGGGCCUGUGGAGAAAAGUCUUGAAACCCUAAAGGAUACAUUUUAGGAUCAUAUAAUGACUUUGAAACCAUAUAUGACCAUUAUAUGUUGUCAUAAAUGUCCGGGUAGGCUAGAGUUAACGAAAUCGGGGCAAAUUUCAAACGAGCAAAUUGAGCGUUUUAAGGCAAAAUAGAUGGUUCCACCCACCCAGUUGGACUCCCAGAGGGUAUUGGGGACCACGGUAAACUUCUCAGCAAUUUUUAUUUCCAGGUAAAAAAAGGUCAAAAAAUUCCAAAAUUGAAGGCUAUUAUUCACGCUUUUUGGGGAACUUUUGACGUUACGGGGCCCGGUGGCGAAAAUUCUUGAUACCCUAGAAAAUACAUUUUAGAAUCAUAUAAUGGCGUUUGGAGCCAUAUAUAACCAUUACAUGUUGUCAUAAAUGUCCGUGGUAGGCUUGAGUUUAUGAAAUCGGUGCAAGUUUUGAAUGGGAAAAUUGAGCGUUUUAAGGCAAUUUAGAUGGUUCCACAAACCCAAUUGGAAUCCCAGAGGGUAUUAGGGAAUAUGGUAAAAAUCUCGGAAAUUUUUAUUUCCGGACAAAAAAAGUUCAAAAAAUUCCAAAAUUAAAGGCUAUUAUCCACACUUUUUAAGGAAUUUUUGACGUUACAGGGUCCAGUGGAGAAAAGUCUUGAGACCCUAGAGGAUACAUUUUAGGGUCAUAUAAUGACGUUUGGAACCAUAUAUGACCAUUAUAUGAUGUCAUAAAUGUUUGUGGUAGGCUUGAGUUCACGAAAUCGGUGCAAAUUUAAAGGAAAAUCAGAUGGUUACACCCACACAACUCGACUCCCGGAGGGUAUUAGGGAUCAUGGUAAACAUCUCGGCAAAUUUUAUUUCCGGGCAAAAAAAGGUCAAAAUAUUUCAAAUUUUAUCCACGUUUUUUGAGUAAUUUUUAACGUUAAGUGGUCCAGUGGAGAAAAGUCUUGAGACCCUAGAGGAUACAUUUUAGGGUCAUUCACUAGUAGAAAAAUGCUCAUUUGCGUCACCUUAUUUGCGUCACUCGUAGAAACAAAUGACGCAAAUAAUAUAUUUUAGCUUCACUAUAAGUAAUUUGCGUCGCACAUUAACUACAAAGCGAAGCAAAAGACUGAUAUAUUUCAGCUUACUCAUAUUUGCGUCGCUUUCAUAAAUAAAAACGACGCAAAAGAUAAUGUUAUUUGCGUCGCUCAUUUAUUAACAGGUGACGCAAAUAGCUUUGUGAGUAAAUUGUGUCACUUCUUUCCUUAUUGAGUGACGCAAAUGACUAUUACAAUUACAAUCCACUCAACUCUUCCUCACAUUCAAUAUAAAACACUCUUGCUGCCUGUCGCCGUUCGAACUUCAAAACCCUAGCAGCUUCAACUGAAAAAUUCCCCUAAAAUUCAACAUCAAAACCUCAAGAAAUUUGUCUAAAUAGCCGAAUCUUCAGCGCUGCCUUGUUGUCGUUCGUACUGCAAAACCCUAGCGAAUUCAACAGCAAAACCCUGAUAAAUUCGACCCCAAAACAACAAAUUUGACCCCAAAAUCAAUAAAUUCAACCAGUAAUUGAAAAUCCCAAAAUUUCCAAGCCAAAACCCCCCAUUUUCAAGCAAAUCCGAGGAAAAACACCCUAUUUUUGAGCAAAAAUCGACCAAAACCCCCACGAAAUUCGAACUAUUAAAACCGCUGAUAAUCGAGAUGAAAUACUCUACAUCGAGGCUAGCAAGGGAUUGCUGCUUGUUGGUGUUGCUGUUGAUGGUUAGCAGGGGAAGCAGUGGAGAUGGUUGACAGUAAUAAGAGGUAUGCAGCAGGUGCUUGUGGUUGAUGGUGAGUGCGGUGGUCUGGCCUAGUGUAGUGGGAAAUUUUUUGCAGAUAGCUAUUUUGUUGUUGAGUUGUUUGUGAAUUGCAGGGGAUAAUGUCAAGGUUUCUCUCUCUUAUAUUUAAAUUAACUCUAAUCUUAUUGUUAUUCAGUGAAUUUUCUGGUUUAGUUGUUCUAUAAUUUGAGGUAAUAAUUAAUUUCUUACUUGAUUUCUCUCAUAUUAAAAGUAAUUUAACAUUACAAUUGAAGUUUUUAAAAAAAAAUUACAAUUAAAGCGGCAUAAUCUAGUUCUUCAUUACUGAAUAAGAAUUUUAAGAGAAGUAGUCAAAAUAAUGACACAAUGUUAUUCCUUUGUUUUGUGUAUGAUAUUUUUUACCUCAAAUUGAAAUGAUGAUGUUAAUUACUACUUACUGAUAAAGUGAUUAUGAGUUGAUGACAUUCUGUUUUUGCAUUUCGUAUUUUAAGAGAAUAAUAGCACUGCAAUUUUCAUUUUGUUUUGUCUACGAGAAGACAGGUACAAUGAACAUGUUUAAGCUAGAAAUAUAAACUUUGGUAAAACAGGACUAAACUUAUUAGGGCCGUGAUUAAUAGCAAUUGUAGCUUAAAUUGGUCCAUAGUAUUUGUGUAUGUUAUUAAUCAAAUAAUGAAAUAAUCACCCAACCUUCCAGCAGUAUAUUAACUCUGUAGAGUUCUAGCUGAAAUCUAAUCUUUAGUAGUCCUCAUCACCAAGUGUUCGAAUCGAAGAUAUCAUGAUCUUACUCUGGAGUCAAUGAAUGAUGCUAACAUUGUAAAGAAUGCAAAAUUCGAAUAAUACGUUACUAAAAAUCUCGGAUUAGUUACUGUAAUAGUUGCAAUUGCAGAAUUUACAGGAAGAAUUAUUGAAGAAGAUUGAUUUUGAUUUAAUAUAUGUAUGAUCCUUAAAUCAUGGAUAUAAAUUUAUCAAAACUGAAUAUAAUGGCCUGUUUUUCUCUUUAAAGUUGUGAAUUAAGUUCUAAUCCGAGAUGUUUUUCUCUUUAAAAUGUGGUGAGAAUGAUAUGAUUAGUAUUCUUAUUUUUCAUGCUUAGGUUUUAUCUUGUUUGAAAUGAGUUGAAUGAGUCUAUUGACUUUGUGGCUAUGAUGCGAGCGUGUAGUAUCAUCAAAAAUUGGGAGGAAGUGAGAUGUGGCUACUAUGUCGUGUACUAUAUGUUUGAAACAGUUCAACAUCACCGUAGUAAUGAGGAUCUUGUUAGUAUGUGUUGUCAGAUCUUUCACUACUAAUUCAUCAAUUUAUUUUAAAUUGGCUACACUCUUGAAUUGAUUAGUUUUUGUUUUUGUGUUGUGUUAACAGGAUUUUUGAAGAACAAUACCUUAUAAUGGGGAGGAGAUAAAUGAGGUUCGAGAUAUUUAGUCAAACUAUUUCAUGAUCAAUGUUGAAAUUUAGAUUUAAACUUAGCUAAAUCCAUUUGUUUGUUAGACUUUUUUUUGUUUUAGUUCUUAGGCUUGAAAUGAAUGUAUUUGGGGUACCAACAUUUUGGGUUGGUCUUUGUUCUUGUGUUGGUUGAUGAUAUCAAUAAUUUUGAGUUGUAAAA